UACGUAGGGGCAAGCGUUGUCCGGAAUCAUUGGGCGUAAAGAGCGCGUAGGCGGCCCAGUAAGUCCGCUCUGAAAGUCAGAGGCUCAACCUCUGGAUGCGGGUGGAUACUGCUGGGCUAGAGUCCGGAAGAGGCGAGUGGAAUUCCUGGUGUAGCGGUGAAAUGCGCAGAUAUCAGGAAGAACACCGGUGGCGAAGGCGGCUCUCUGGGCCUACCUGACGCUGAGGAGCGAAAGCGUGGGUAGCGAACAGG
rnacentral:rRNA from 1 species